AUAUUCUUUGUUUAGUUAUUAAAUAAAAAUUAUUUUUCAUCCAGAAAAAAUAAAUUAAAUUAGGGUCAACACUAUCCAGAAAAUGCAAAGGUAGUUUCAUUACAAUAAUUAUUAUAGUAUUAAAAAUGAAAUUUUAAUAAAAUAAAAAAAAUUAAAUCGACCCAGCCAGAGAGAUCUCAGUUUCAGUUCAGUCUCAACGACUGAAAACGAAGCCAAAUUACAACACGAAUUGCUGCCAGAUCUAUUUUCUGGCCUCUUUGAUUCAGUAAACUUCAUAUCCUAGAGAGAGAGAGAGAGAGGAGGAGAAGAUGAAUAUUAUUCGUAGGUUAGCGGAGGGGAUAUCGACCCUAGUUUGGNUACGAGAGAGAGAGAGAGAGAGGGAGAAGAUGAAUAUAUUCAGGUUAGCAGGGGAUAUGACCCAUUUGGCAAGUGUUCUUGUUUUGCUCCUCAAGAUUCACA
rnacentral:lncRNA from 1 species